CUCUGCCAGUUCUGGAUGGGGUCACACUUCCUUCGAAAGAAGAGGUACAGAGUCUGAGAGUGCUCCUGAAUCCAAACUUCUCCCUGGUCCUGGUGUCUCAGGUUGAGGCAGUGGCCAGAGGUGCUUUCUAUCAGCUUCGGCUGAUAUGCCACCUGCAUCCAUUUCUUGACAUCAAGGACCUCAGAACAGUGGUACAUAUGCUGGGUUACAAAAAAGAAAGAAAGAAAGAAAGAAAGAAAGAAAGAAAGAAAGAAAGAAAGAAAGAAAGAAAGAAAGAAAGAAAGAAAAAGGUUAUUUACAGAAGACUUCUAUUUGUUACCUAAAGCACUUUCCAAAUUGAAGGCCUUUCCGCAAGAUUCAUUUAUUGCACAAUAAAAGUGCAGCUGCAGGGUUUUACAUUGCUAUAUAUCUGACUCAUGAAAAGGAGUUCUAAAGCCAAGAUGUGGCUAAAGAAAAAUAUCACAGUUAAAACAAAUCACAGCUCAUAUGAGACGUGACUGAGCAGGUGUGGAAAGAAAAAAAUUUAAGUGACUAUUCUGCCAAAAAGAGAACAAUUGGGGGGUGUGUGUGUGUGUGUCACUUCUUUUACUGGCCCUCUUUCUGGCCUCUUCCUGGUAUGCUGACAACAUGAUAAAGGAAUCUUCGUCUGUUUAAUUUCUGUGUAUCAGACUGAUAUGAAAUGCACAGGAGCAAAGCUAUUUGGCAACAUAAGCAGAGUUCAACGCUAAAGCUACAUUUUAGUGCAUAAAGACAGUGGGCAGGAUCCAGAUAAAUUUAGUUAUGACCACGUGCCAUCCAAAUAAAUGACCCAUGACUAACCUAGGCCUGGUAGAUUUUAAUGGAACUUAGUCAUGGCUAACUUAUCCUAGAUCUUGCCCAAUAUAAUUGCUCAUAUAUACAGAAACUGGCUUUCAUCAUAGAUAUUUCAUAAAGCAUGGAAAUUGAUUAUUUCAGCAUAUAUUGACUUGGUUGUGAUGAGAAGCUUUAGUAGGCUAGAAAUGGCUGUUCCGAAUGUAACAGCAGGGCUUAAAAUCAAGUCAGGACUCCGCGAGCAUCAGCUUCAGAGCAUGUCCUGGAAAACAGAGAUUGACCCUAAAACUUGGGCUGGAAAGCUUUUAACUACUCCUGCUUCUGGAAUCAAGACAAGUGUUCAGGCAGAGGACCCAGGGAGAAGUGGGCCAUUUUGGAAGGGCGGUAUAGAAAUCAAUCAAUCAAUCAAUCAAAUAAAUAAAUAAAUAAAUGUGGUAGUGUAGAACCCAAGGGGAAGAGUUGUGGUAUGCAAGGACAAGGCAGUGGAAUGGAAUCAGGAAUAUUAAUAGUUCAAUGAAAUAGAUAUUAUUUACAGACUGCAUGUUGGAGAUUGUUAAUUUUUACCCCCAGUAGGUAAAACAGCAAACAGCAGAGCAUUAAGGAAUGAGCACACUCCAGUGACAGAGAAGGUAGCAGAGGAUGCUUUAGUUGUUGCAGCUAUUUAGAGAAAACACAUGGAGAUCUUUGUAGAACUAAAUACUAAGUAUUUAUUGGUUAAGUACACUUGGAUAGGAAAGACCUAAAUAAAAUUUUAA